GGGGAUAACACUUGGAAACAGGUGCUAAUACCGUAUAACACUAUUUUCCGCAUGGAAGAAAGUUGAAAGGCGCUUUUGCGUCACUGAUGGAUGGACCCGCGGCGCAUUAGCUAGUUGGUGAGGUAACGGCUCACCAAGGCCACGAUGCAUAGCCGACCUGAGAGGGUGAUCGGCCACACUGGGACUGAGACACGGCCCAGACUCCUACGGGAGGCAGCAGUAGGGAAUCUUCGGCAAUGGACGAAAGUCUGACCGAGCAACGCCGCGUGAGUGAAGAAGGUUUUCGGAUCGUAAAACUCUGUUGUUAGAGAAGAACAAGGAUGAGAGUAAAAUGUUCAUCCCUUGACGGUAUCUAACCAGAAAGCCACGGCUAACUACGUGCCAGCAGCCGCGGUAAUACGUAGGUGGCAAGCGUUGUCCGGAUUUAUUGGGCGUAAAGCGAGCGCAGGCGGUUUCUUAAGUCUGAUGUGAAAGCCCCCGGCUCAACCGGGGAGGGUCAUUGGAAACUGGGAGACUUGAGUGCAGAAGAGGAGAGUGGAAUUCCAUGUGUAGCGGUGAAAUGCGUAGAUAUAUGGAGGAACACCAGUGGCGAAGGCGGCUCUCUGGUCUGUAACUGACGCUGAGGCUCGAAAGCGUGGGGAGCGAACAGGAUUAGAUACCCU
rnacentral:rRNA from 1 species